UUUUAGCCAGAAAGGCACAUGACAAGAAAGCCCGGUCCUUUGCUUCGCUUUCUCAUGGCUGGAGAUCUGGGCAGCUCCCUGAGCGCAGCGGAGGAGCCCAUGUGAAGCGGAGCAACUCAGAGCUGCAGCCCCUGAAGCAGCGGAUUUCGGCCGGGCGGUUGUGAUUUAAGAGGAGCUGCGAACGGAGGCGAAGAAGGGAAAAGAAAAACCACCACCAAAAAACCACCACCCUCGCUAGAUGUGUCGGAGAGCAGACGAUUGUAUCCAUGAACGUGUGUAUAAUGAACCAAGAAGGAACGCAGCACUAAAGGAAGCCUUUGUAAUGCUGCUAUUUUAAGGAGACCCUUGGGGAUGGCACGUGCUGAACUGAGUUCCUUCAACAUCUUACAACAAAUCUCUCCAAAUGUUUAGAUCCUUCUACUGAUAUAAAGCAAAAAGUCCGCAAUCAAUUUAAACUGGCUAAGGUUUUGACCAGAAAUUAUUGCUCUUGUGAAUUGGCUCUAUAUUUGUAGCUAACUUUUACACUGACUAAUAAUAAACAUCUCCUCCUCCCAGCUGGGUGAAUGUUUCCCUUCUGCAGGAGAUGAGGUCCCAUCCUGGAUAAAA